GAUGAAGAACGUAGCGAAAUGCGAUACGUAAAGUGAAUUGCAGAAUUCAGUGAAUCAUCGAGUCUUUGAACGCACAUUGCGCCCCCUGGUAUUCCGGGGGGCAUGCCUGUCCGAGCGUCAUUGCUGCCCUCAAGCACGGCUUGUGUGUUGGGCCUCCGUCCUCCUCCCGGGGGACGGGCCCGAAAGGCAGCGGCGGCACCGCGUCCGGUCCUCGAGCGUAUGGGGCUUCGUCACCCGCUCUUGUAGGCCCGGCCGGCGCUUGCCGACACAUCAAUCUUUUUUCCAGGUUGACCUCGGAUCAGGUAGGGAUACCCGCUGAACUUAAGCAUAUCAUAAGCGGAGGA
rnacentral:misc_RNA from 1 species